rnacentral:rRNA from 1 species
UCAGACCCGUGGCAAAUAGCUCAGUAGCACGUGGCCAAUCUACCCUCCGGAUCAGCACACCCUCGGGAAACUGAGGCCAAUUCUGUAUACGGCUCCCGACCUGGAAUGGUGGGAGCCCGAAACGCUCCGGCGCCGGAGGAUGAGGCUGCGGCCGAUUAGGUUGACGGUGGGGUAAUGGCCCACCGUGCCGAUAAUCGGUCUGGGUCAUGAGAGUGAGAACCCAGAGACGGAAUCUGAGACAAGAUUCCGGGCCCUACGGGGCGCAGCAGGCGCGAAACCUUUACACUGCACGCCAGUGCGAUAAGGGGACCCCAAGUGCGCAGGCAUAGUGCCUGCGCUUUUCUGGACUGUAGGGCGGUCCAGGAACAAGGGCUGGGCAAGACCGGUGCCAGCCGCCGCGGUAAUACCGGCAGCCCAAGUGAUGGCCGCUGUUAUUGGGCCUAAAGCGUCCGUAGCUGGCCGCACAAGUCCGUCGGGAAAUCCGCCCGCUCAACGGGCGGCCGUCCGGCGGAACCCGUGUGGCUUGGGACCGGGAGGCCUGAGGGGUACGAUCGGGGUAGGAGUGAAAUCCUGUAAUCCCGCUCGGACCGCCGAUGGGGAAACCACCUCAGGAGAACGGAUCCGACAGUGAGGGACGAAAGCCAGGGUCUCGAACCGGAUUAGAUACCCGGGUAGUCCUGGCCGUAAACGAUGCUUGUUAGGUGUGACUCCCACUACGAGUGGGUGUUGUGCCGUAGGGAAGCCG